rnacentral:rRNA from 1 species
UACCGAGGGGGCAAGCGUUGUUCGGAAUUAUUGGGCGUAAAGGGCGCGUAGGCGGCUUGGCAAGUGGAAGGUGAAAUCCCUCGGCUCAACUGAGGAACUGCCUUCCAGACUGCUUUGCUUGAGUCCGGGAGAGGUGAGUGGAAUUCCCAGUGUAGCGGUGAAAUGCGUAGAUAUUGGGAGGAACACCAGUGGCGAAGGCGGCUCACUGGACCGGAACUGACGCUGAGGCGCGAAAGCGUGGGGAGCAAACGGG